rnacentral:rRNA from 1 species
UUAUGCCAUUAAACAAGCAAAGCACCAGAUCCCAUCAGAACUCUGAAGAGCUAAGUAUGCAUAGAUGAAACUAGUACUACGAUGCGUGACCCCUAUGAAGUUCACCAGAUUCAUAUG